rnacentral:rRNA from 1 species
UACGUAGGUGGCAAGCGUUGUCCGGAAUUAUUGGGCGUAAAGCGCGCGCAGGCGGUCCUUUAAGUCUGAUGUGAAAGCCCACGGCUCAACCGUGGAGGGUCAUUGGAAACUGGGGAACUUGAGUGCAGGAGAGAAGAGUGGAAUUCCACGUGUAGCGGUGAAAUGCGUAGAGAUGUGGAGGAACACCAGUGGCGAAGGCGGCUUUCUGGUCUGUAACUGACGCUGAGGCGCGAAAGCGUGGGGAGCAAACAGG